rnacentral:rRNA from 1 species
GGUCAAGUUACUAAGGGUGUAUGGGGGAUGUCUAGGCGUUGAGAGGCGAAGAAGGACGUGGCAGGCUGCGAUAAGCCCGGGGCAGGAGCCGAGCAUCCGCUAAUCCCGGGAUGUCCGAAUGGGGAAACCCGUUAUCACUGGGCAACCAGAUGGUAUCAUCAAUGGCUGAAUGUAUAGGCCAUAUGAAGCGAACGCAGGGAACUGAUACAUCUCAGUACCUGUAGGAAAGGAAAUCAACAGAGACUCCGUAAGUAGCGGCGAGCGAAAGCG